UCCAAAAACACAUUUAUGUGGUUCCCGGGAUGACACGUAACCUAACUUUAGAACGAUGCUGUAGACAUGAAAGUCGAUUCCUACCGCCUCGUUUUCCAAUGUGCCGUAUCGAUUGAUCAACAAUAUAGCAAUCGAUUUCAUCACAUAUCCUUCAUCAUCUUCGAUUCCUUAAAAAGGGGUUACUGUUGGCCUACGUCUUAACCGACGAUGAUGGAUUCUUCAAAAAAUAUGUGUCUCUUCAAUUCAUUCCAGAAAGUUGUGUUAAAUUGGCAAUAAUUAUGACAAAACCAAGAAAGAGGCCAUAAUUAACGUCUCCCGUUCUAUAAAAAAACAACAUUAACACACCAAAGUCUUUCCAUUCCCACAUAUAAUCAGGCACGCCACCGUUUCCCUCUUUACCCUACUUCUCUCGCUUUGCUACCUCUUCGGUAAAAAUGAUUACAUGUAAAUCUAUCCAAGAACAUCAAAUCGAUGGAACAUGAAGGUCGAAGAAGAAGAGAUAUUUUCAACACGAAGUUCUUGAAUUGAUUUUGAUUUUAGCGUGGAUGUAUUUGGGUUUACACUCUUUUUUUACACGUGAUUAUAAUUGAUAUAUAAAUUGAUUAAUUCGUUGCAGAUAUCUCUGUUUAAGGUGUGGAAAACUUCAAUUUCUCCUUGCGUUUACUUUUCUCCCGAACCUUUUCCGUGGCAGGGAAGUUUUGUGGAUUUUGAGCUUGUGGUUGUUAGAAAAUCAGAGCUUAAACUGUGGGCUAUAGUUGUAACUCCUCACCAAAUAUCCAAACAUUUGUAGUAUUAAGGGUAAGAACAACAUUGUAACUUAUCAACUUCUACUGGAGUUUUAAUAAAGAAAAACCCUUUAAUUUUUAGGCUUACUUGAUCUUUUUUUACAUUUCUUUGAAGAAGUUGAAAAAACUACUUUUUCUUCCUCCGAUCACAGUCAUGAUUGUACUAUCUAUUCGAUCUGUUUGAUGACCGUUGUGAAAGAUGAUUCCAAGUGAGUUGUUAAGUUUGUCAUUGAAGCGAAUCUUGUUUAAGGAUCUAAAAAAGUUCGGAUUACUCUUCAUAAAGGUCAAAUCUUAUUAUAUAUUUCCAAUCAACUCAAAUGUUUUGCUUGUCCAAAAAUUUAUAACACGUAUAGAUAAUAUGUGCUUCCAUCUGACAUGUUACAUUUUUUAGAUAUAAGUGAACUAAAGUUACUAAAAACAUGCACCCUUUUUUUAUCCAGAUGAAAAGAAUAAUCUAAUGUCUUUUGAGCACCCUUUCACUGCUAUUGCUUAAUGGAAUUACAGUUGGGAUUACAUAAUAAUCAUAAAAAUAACAAUGUUUUCUUACUUUCACAGUUGGGAUUAGACAUCAAGUUUUAUGUUUGAAGUGUUUUACUAAACAUCUCCUUUUUUUGUGGCCUAGGUUGACUCAAAUUAUUUUCACAGAAACUAUAUUUGCUAUUUUCAACAGAAAAAAUAUCUUCCAAGUUCCUAGCCCGUAACAGGAUCGUACUAUCAUUUCCUUAACAAAGAUGCAAUUUGUGGGUCGUGC